CUUCGGAGGAUGCUUCGAAGGAUCCUUGGGGUUAUCCUAGAAUAUUCCUUGAGGGUUAUCGCAGUAGGUGAGGGCCAGAUUAGUUGAGUGUGCGUAGCUGGAUCCCCGUUCUGGUCGGCGGGGCCUUGAGGGUCCUUUCCGAGGGCUUGAGGCCUGGAGAGUGCUGGGGGCGAGCACGCAGCGAAGGGGCAGGCCUGAAAUGUGACAGGUCAUUUUUCUAUUUGUGCUUGCAAGAUAUUCUCUUUGGAUUUCAAGAUUUUUGACCAUGAUGUGCCUGAGUGUUUUGUCCUGUCUAACCAUGGCUGGAAUCUCUCAAAAAUGAGCAGUAAGGGAGUUCCCACAAGGGAGUGGCUGAAAUUGAGGAGAGAGGCCAUUUCUCCUACUGUCCCCUGUCUCCAAAGAAAAGGAGGAAGUAAAAACUGAAAAAUAACAGACUGAUCGGCACCACUGGCCAGGCCUGUAGGUUAAAGAUUAACCCACAACCUAACCGCUUGUGAUAUCUAUAUAUCACAGACAAUGGUAUGGAGAAACACUUGCCUUGCUCACCACCCCCACCUAGUCAUGUACCCCAUGCUUGUUCAAUCUAUCACGACCCUUUCACGUGGACCCCUUAGAGUUGUAAGCCCUUAAAAGGGCCAGGAACUCUUUCUUAGGGGGGCUUCGUUCUUGAGACGCAUGUCUGCCAACGCUCCUGACCAAAUAAAGCCUCUUCCUUACAUUUCUUGGUUCCCUGACCGGGAAGCGAGGUGAUUAACGAUGGUCGAGGCAGCCCCUUAGGCGGCUUAGGCCUGCCCUGCGGAGCAUCCCUGCAGGGGACUCCGGCCAGUUUGAG
rnacentral:lncRNA from 10 species